rnacentral:hammerhead_ribozyme from 1 species
AUCCAGUUGACAAGUCCCAAGUAGGGCGAAACGCGCGUGUCCUGGAU